GAUGAACGCUGGCGGCGUGCCUAAUACAUGCAAGUCGAGCGAGCAGACGAGGAGCUUGCUCCUCUGACGUUAGCGGCGGACGGGUGAGUAACACGUGGAUAACCUACCUAUAAGACUGGGAUAACUUCGGGAAACCGGAGCUAAUACCGGAUAAUAUAUUGAACCGCAUGGUUCAAUAGUGAAAGACGGUUUUGCUGUCACUUAUAGAUGGAUCCGCGCCGCAUUAGCUAGUUGGUAAGGUAACGGCUUACCAAGGCGACGAUGCGUAGCCGACCUGAGAGGGUGAUCGGCCACCCUGGAACUGAGACACGGUCCAGACUCCUACGGGAGGCAGCAGUAGGGAAUCUUCCGCAAUGGGCGAAAGCCUGACGGAGCAACGCCGCGUGAGUGAUGAAGGUCUUCGGAUCGUAAAACUCUGUUAUUAGGGAAGAACAAAUGUGUAAGUAACUAUGCACGUCUUGACGGUACCUAAUCAGAAAGCCACGGCUAACUACGUG
rnacentral:rRNA from 1 species